UCACUACCCCACGUCCCAUGAUUCGCGGCAUUUUGGUUCCGGCGUUUUAGCCAACUGCCGGUAAUAAUUGUUUUGCACGGCAGUUUAUAAACUAGUGCCGCUAAUGGUCCAGUAAUUACCGGCGAUUUGGUACAGUGCCACUAAAUUUUGAUGGUCAACGGCAGUUAUAAUUGGUGCCGAUAAUAGUGCGCUGGCGAUCUGGAGAAGUGCCGCUAAAAGUUUGAUGCGAAAGUGCCGGGGAAAGCUGAUGCGCACCCGACUGUUUUGCACAUAAGCCCAUUUAGAUUAUAUUAAUUAAUCUGCAGUCCAUGUGAAAAAAAAUCCGCAGUCCCAACUUGUACACAACCACCCAUUCCAUUAGAGCUGUUCCGCGUGCGCAGCUCUAUCUCUCCUGGCGGCGGCGGCCUCGUCCAUCCCCAGUCCCCACGGGGUCCCGCCGGCCCCCUCAACCCCGUCUGCCACCACCGACCGCGAGAUUGAAGGGAAGCGGCGUGUCAGCCCGCCGCCAUCGCUGGUCCUCCGCCCGCCGACCGCGAGGGAAGGAAGGCGGCGUACCCGCCCGCCCGCCCACCACCACCGCGGGUCCUCAGCUGGCCGCAUAAUGAUCGCCGCCCCCAUCCUCUGCGCCACCUCUCCGUCGUCUUCCGGCCGCGUGUGGUUGGGGCGGCCACGGGUGGAAACCGGGAGAAGGGAGCCCCCUUGUCGCGGUCCUCCGCCACCUCGCGGAUCGGCCCCUUCGCAGCUUCGGCCAUGGUGGCAGCAAUACCUUGGCCCCUCGGGAGAAACUGCUCGAUGGGGCCCACUCGAUGGACGCUGAUCACCGGGGUAGGCGCCCGCGCGGCCACAUCUUCGACGAGCCAUGAUGUUUGAGGAAUUGAGUAUGUGUUUGUGAUAUUGCCUAUGCCGGUGAUAUUGCCUAUGUGUUUGUGAUAUGGCUCUGUUAAAUUAUUUAGAAAUAUUGAUCUAUUUGCCUUGACGAGAGGAUGUCACGGGGCAGAUCCUUCAAUUUGUGCGUCUGCCAUCUAUCUUUGGACAGUUCCUGAUGUGACACAAGCACUACAGAACACUGAAUCUACAUUUCUUGAAUUACGAUGGUAUCAUGACAAAUGAGACUGAGUGAUCGCCACCAAAGACAACAUUCGCUGAUGAGGUGAUGUUUAUAUAUGAGAAAAAGCCUUGAGAGCUGCUGAGAGAGGCCCUGUCGUGAAUUGCUGACCGGCUGUUGAGCAUGACUCUGAAAAAUCUUCAGAGGUAUAUCCCUUCUUUCGUUCCUACCAUCUACAUUUUAAAGAGCUUAGAUUCAGACAUUGUUUGUCCCAUUCACAUCAGGACACCUCCAUAAGGGAGUCUGUGGUGAUUACAUUUGAUUGUCUAUAAGACAUUCCAAUUAGUAAAAGGCAAGUUAGUACCUACAUAUAAAUGAAUUCAGCUGGGUAACCCAUUGUCCAUAAGUUGUUUAUUACCCUGAAGAAAAAGUUAACAUGUUCUGUUAGAUAUCAAGAUUGUUAUGGCUAGAAAAUUUGAAGUGGUCACUGAGAUUUAAACUAGAUAAUUUUAUAUAGCACAUUGUUUCCCUUUAUAUUUAUGAUCUUGCAAAACAGUGUAUCCUAUAAUUCUAUUUCCAUUCCCGCACCAUGAAUGUUGUAAAGUGACCAUGUUUAUGCUCCCAGAUUGUUAGUGGGACUGUUAUUUUCAUGGAGUAAAAUGACAAAAUACAUUAAGGCCAUGGUGCCCAUGGAGUUCUCUUCAUCUACGACUAGAUCUAUUACAAGCAAUGUAGGUAAUUUGGUGUGCAAAUUAGUCAUCACCCUUGAUACCUUUUUUACCAACUCAUAGCAUUUUGUAUAUAUUUUAUUAUGUACAUCCUGCAUAGAUAUCGAGCACAGCAGAGAUCCUUAGAACCAUUACAACAGAAUUGUUCAUUCCACACUUUCAUUGCUUAUGAAAACUAAUGGUGCAAACCAUGUUAUUGUUGCUUCUUCCUAUGAUAAAUUUUGGUCACAAGGAUACUUGUAUAUUUACCUCGAAUCUGUGAUAGAUGAUUGAUGUAAGCUGCCACUGGAAUAGGAAUGCAAUAAAAGGUCCAGAAUUAUGUUCUUCUUAAUACUUCUGAUGUUCACUCAUGAUUUAAUGUUUCUCUCUUGAGACGACAAACCACUUUUGUGGAAAAGAAACUCCAUUCGUUGCUAAGGACCAAAUCAUACAUAUCAGAUCCAUUUACUCGCUGGAAAGAAAUGGACAAGGGGAUCAGUUUACACGUAAUAGGAAGUACUUGUGCUAGGAAGUAGUACGUGAUCUAAAUCUCCGAUUGCCAGGAUAGCUAUUAGUAAAAAAAAGGUUAUUGCUGACAAAGAAAAUUGCAUGUGCCUAUAUGUUUUUAGCUCAAAAUCAUACUUGAGAUAAAUUGAUGUUGCUGUCUGAUUUAGCAUAUCCUGUAUCAGACAAUGCCUUUUGCUUUGAUUGCGCUUUUUUGGAAGUGGUUACACAUUCAAAGAUUUGUUCACUAUAGAUAUUAUUUGUUUAAAUGUAGUUUUAUAAGUUUAUAUACCAAGAACUGAAUUUACCUUACCGAGCCAAGGCACUGACUUCUCAUAUGCAUAUAUGUGUGCCAUAGAUGUCAGGUAACACCCGUGAGUGAAUUCAUCUCAUCCUCAAUGCCUUCUAUUCUCUACCAAGAGGUAAUUAAUGCUUUGCUUCCACGAUCUGAUGAAAGUCUGGAUGAAGGUGCUCUAUUUUGUGUGCUUUAGUCACAUGGGAUUCCUACAUGAUCACCAUGGGCACUGUCCUGAGGUUGGUUGGAGCAACAAGAUCUUAUGUUGCCACUAACUUCUAUUGCAAUUCUUUGUGUACCUGACUUCAUGAGACUAAUGUGAAAAUCAGCUCUCAGCCAGAGAACACUUUUUUUCCAGCAGUACGAGCUCCCAGGAGAUAGUUAAGUUCAUGAUUUUUUUUCAGAUUCGUGGUCAUUGUUGAUUUAUUAUGGUUAGUGGUCAUCUGAGAAUAGGGAGGGGCAUGCCUUCCACAACUGUCUGUAGUCCAGAUUACAAGUAGGAUAUGUGCAUGCUUGAUGAUUCUGAUCCUUCUCUUCUUCAGGUGAAAUGCAGUUGAGGUCGAAGAAUGCCGUUGGAGAGACCAGAGGUUGCCGUGGUGGUGCUUGCCGGAGAUCAUGGCGAGAUGCUCUGCUGGGAGAGGAGACCUCGCCGGCGAGGUUGGGGACGAGCUGCUGGUUAAAGAUCAUGUAAUGAUUUUGUAAUUUAGAUGCUACUUGCAAAUGUUGGUUCCAUAUCCUAUAAUUUAGAUGCCUGGCUACAAUUUUAAUGCAUGAUCAGGUUACUGUGUUUGAUUAAAAUACCAGGCAAUAUGAUAACUGCAUAUAUUUGUGCAAGUACUAUGAUUAUUGCUUUGUUUUGAAUAGUGCAUGUAAACAUAAUCAAAGGCAUUGUUGAAAACAGCCUUCAAAUGUAAUAUAAGGCAUCAUUGAAAAGUGUA